rnacentral:snoRNA from 1 species
ACGACCUUAUUUGAACAGGAUCUGUUCUAUAGGCUCGUACCUCUGUAUUUUUGAUUCCUAAGAAGACAGAAACUCAUGUCUGGUUGAUGAAUCAGGACCAUGUGACUAGAGCGUGAUUAACAGGACCCAUGGUCUCGACCAUGGCUCAGUAGAGGAUCGUUGCCAGCCCAUCUAACGGGUCUUGGCAUGGUCACAAGGUUGUCUGACAGACA